AUUACAAAUUGGAAAUUUAAAAGUUCACCCAGCUUAACAAUUGGUUCAUUAUGGAAAUAAUUGAAAUCCAAAAUUUGUUACGUUUCUAUUUGUGAGCUACAGUAUUAUUGGAUUGUGUGAAUUCAAUCGGAUGGAGUCUAGAGACGUUAAAGAAAACGACAAACCAUCUUCGAAAAUUGGCAAUUACUGUAUUCAAUGCGCCAAUACAAACGGAAUGAAGGGCAGCAAUAGUGUUCCCAUAACUCCUAAAUGCCGAAUCUGUUUGGCCGAUGAGGGUAAUUUAAUCUCUCCUUGCCUCUGCAAAGGAUCCGUAGGUCUCGUACAUAAAAAUUGCUUAGAAACAUGGUUAGAAAAUCGAAAUGUAGAUUCUUGCGAGUUGUGCCAAACACCGUUUCACGUUAUCCGCAUUCCGAAAAAAUUUAGAGAAUGGUGGCAAAGUAAUGAUUCUUUAACGGACAGAAAAAUUUUAAGAAGAGAUUUAAUCGUUAUAUGUGCAUUAACGCCCAUGGCUAUCCUGAGUAUAGUUAUGUGCUUAGAAAAGAUCGUUUAUUAUAGUAAACACGGACAUGUCAAGGAAAUGGUGGCGAUGACAAUCUUUUCUUUAUUUUUAAUAAUUUCUUUUCUUUAUCAGCUAUUUGCUACACUUAGAAUAAUGUAAUUUUUAAUGUUUGUCUGUCAUCUCUGGAAAGAAUAACGAUUACGCUAUAUUUUAAAACGAGUCAUUAUCUUUCCUACAAAACAUGGAGAAAUAAUCAUAGCAACGUCC
rnacentral:misc_RNA from 1 species